CCGAGAAAUCAGCUUCAGUUAUGUUCCGUUUGCUCUGUUCACGUGAUCAUGUAAAAUAUUUCACAGAAUUCAGUCCGUUUCCGGCGUGGGGAGACUUCUGCGUGAAAUCAGCGUCAAAUUCAACACUGAACAAGAAUACAAAAAGGUUCAAGACUUCAUGAACAGCGAUGAGGAUUUCUCUGGAGCUGGUUCAGCUCUCACUCAGGUACUGGACUCAACCAGGGCCAACAUUGAGUGGCUCAGAAAGAACUACGACACCUUCCAGAACUGGCUGCAGAUUCAGACAAGGAACUGAAACUCUCUUCAUCCGACGAUAGCCACUUAUCAUGAAGGCUGUUAUCACGGAAUGGAUGGGAACGAAAUUUGAGAUCUUCGUGAACUGGAUCGAAAAUUUGACAAGGAACUAAAAUUGUCUUAAU